ensembl:lncRNA
GGGGCAGCAGGCCUAGUGGUUAGAGUGGAGGGGCAGCAGGCCUAGUGGUUAGAGUUGAGGGGCGGCAGGGUGGCACAGCAGGUCUAGUGGUUAGAGUGGAGGGGCAGCAGGUCUAGUGGUUAGAGUGGAGGGGCAGCAGGUCUAGUGGUUAGAGUGGAUUGGCAGGUGGUCUAGUGGUUAGAGUGGAGGGGCAGCAGGGUGGCGCAGCAGGUCUAGUGGUUAGAGUGGAGGGGAGACUAGUAACCAGCAGGUCUAGUGGUUAGAGUGGAGGGGCGACUAGUAACCAGCAGGUCUAGUGGUUAGAGUGGAGGGGAAGCAGGUCUAGUGGUUAGAGUGGAGGGGCGACUAGUAACCAGCAGGUCUAGUGGUUAGAGUGGAGGGGUGACUAGUAACCAGCAGGUCUAGUGGUUAGAGUGGAGGGGCAGCAGGUCUAGUGGUUAGAGUGGAGAGGCAGGUAGCCUAGUGAUUAGAGUGGAGGGGCGGCAGGUCUAGUGGUUAGAGUGGAGGGCCAGCAGGUCUAGUGGUUAGAGUGGAGGGGCAGCAGGCCUAGUGGUUAGAGUGGAGGGGCAGGCAGGGUGGCACAGCAGGUCUAGUGGUUAGAGUGGAGGGGCAGCAGGUCUAGUGGUUAGAGUGGAGGGGCAGCAG